UACGGAGGGUGCAAGCGUUGUUCGGAAUCACUGGGCGUAAAGCGCGUGUAGGCGGCCCUUUAAGUCUGAUGUGAAAGCCCGGGGCUCACCCCCGGAAGUGCAUUGGAAACUGAUGGACUCGAGUCCCGGAGAGGAGGGUGGAAUUCCUGGUGUAGCGGUGAAAUGCGUAGAUAUCAGGAGGAACACCGGUGGCGAAGGCGGCCCUCUGGACGGUGACUGACGCUGAGACGCGAAAGCGUGGGGAGCAAACAGG
rnacentral:rRNA from 1 species